ACUGCUGUGAAGAGCUGUAUGUGAAAAACCACCCAGAAGCAGAUGUAUAAACCAUUCUGCUCAUUACAAAGAAGUUCAUCUUAUUCUAUUAGGUGGGUAGAUCUCUACAACAUCCCACAGUAAUGAGUGCCACUAUGACAUUCUCCAUUGUGUGGAAAAGUGCAUCCCUUCAUGGCAGGCCCACUGCAUGGAUAUUUUCUGCUUCUUGCACCAGCAGAUCAGAAACCAAAACUCAAGCGAAGCCACAAGAAAACUCAAGGCAAAGCAGAUCAAGGGGAAAAAAGAAGCAGCAAGCACAGGUGGCAAUUCUCAAGCUGCAAAGUAGACAAACAGCAUAAUGUGUGUCCUCUUCCACUUUUUAUAUCUGAGACAACCUGACAACACCUUCCAGAAAAUAAACUGCACACAGCUCCUGAGCCUAAAUAAGCCACAGCUCUGGGCACGUGCAGGCCCAAGCCCCUUGUUUUUUCCUUUUCGGCCGAAUCCAAGUGACAAGAGUUCAAAUCUGGAUGUGCUUUAUUUGGGCACGAGGUAAACACUGGAGCCAGGGAGAGUUCCUGGGUGAAGUCAGCAUAAAUGCAAGGCAUGCCUUCCCACG